rnacentral:rRNA from 1 species
GACGUAGGGGGCGAGCGUUGUCCGGAUUUACUGGGCGUAAAGCGCGCGUAGGCGGCCCGUUAAGUCGGAUGUGAAAACCCAGGGCUCAACCCUGGGCCUGCAUCCGAUACUGGCGGGCUCGAGGCAGGUAGGGGAGAGCGGAAUUCCCGGUGUAGCGGUGAAAUGCGCAGAUAUCAGGAAGAACACCCGUGGCUAAGGCGGUUCUCUAGUACGGUACUGACGCUGAGACGCGAAAGCGUGGGGAGCGAACAGG